UAUCGUUGGUUGCUUGUUUUUGAAUUUGGUGUUUGUUGUUGUUUCAUUUAUUGUUAUUGGCUUUCUUUGAUGUGCGUGGGGUUUUUUGUUCUUUUUUUCAGUUUGGUGCUCUUUUUUUUUCUUUGCUGUUCCUUUCUUUGCACUGUAUUUUUUUCCUAGCAGCAUUUCUAUUCCUUUCUCUUGUACUAGAGAUUUUAGCUCCUAACACUAAUCCAAAUGUAUAAACCACAAGUCUGAACUCUAAAUCACACAGGUGUAUGGGAACUGUAUAAUCACAGCCUGACCCUCUGUUUGACCACCUGAGGCGAGUGCUGAGUCAGCUGCAGGGGCACAGGUGAUGGCAGUUUCAGCUGAGUGACCGGAAGGGGUGGACCCUGGCUGCAGCCCUGCUAGACCCCAUGUAAGGGCUGACUCCCAAGGAGGAAGGAUCUCUAUCUGGAGGUCACCCUUAGUGGAGCCCUUCUGCGCGCCCAGGGUACGGGUGAUUUGGCUUUGCCUUCCUUGGCUUUUUGGGACUUCCUCUUUUGGUUCUUGUUCCUGGAUUUGCUUUCGUUUUGUAUAUUUGCCUUGCUUGUGAAUUUCCCUUCUUUUCUGUGCUAAGCACUAUGCGAAGUUUAGGGGUGGGAAAAGGUACCGAGGUGCAUGGAUAUGGAGAAGAGAAGCUCUCCUGCUGUGGCUGAGAGGUGAUCCAAAGGAGGCCUCCCGAGCAAGCACCGCAAAGGCAGCUUGCUUCUCCAGAGGCUGCAGCAUAAGCUCGUGUUCCUUGUGGAGGACUCCGUUGUGCAUCUGCAGGAGCUGCUUUGGCAUGGAGGAUUUUGUGGAGUUGCUGCCAGUCGUUGCUCGGAUGAAGUGAGGCUUUUGUCCUUGUAUCUGUGCAGGAAAGCAGUGCGGAGGGAACGUGUGUGGUGAGAUGCUGAGGAGAGAUUGCCUUCCUUGCCCCAGCAGGCUGCUUGUGUCCUGGUGAUGCACGGUGACGAGAAGGCUGCUGUUCUGUGAGUAAGCCUGCCACGUGGGAGUAAUGGCUGUGGCCUUUUGGGCAAGUCUCUGAGGAGAGGUCUUUGGGCAGGCUGGUUGUUUUGCUGGGCAAGCACGGGGUAGCAGCAGCUGGAAACAGGGGAAGCUUCCACAGAGCCCCCCGCUGGAGUCCCAGGGUGAUGAGCUGAAGCUGAUCUUGG
ensembl:lncRNA